rnacentral:misc_RNA from 1 species
AUUUUCCAGACAGAAUCAAAAGAUACUCAGAAAAUCCAAAAUGAAGCCUUUAGACUAUUCUGACACAAACUUCACAGUAUGUAACCCUUGAUAGAUCCUCAAAAAGAAAAUUACAACUUAUCUACAUGAACUCAACCACUUCAAAUCUAAGCUCAAAUUUUAGAAUCAACCUUUAUAGGUUCAAGAUCAUGCUAUAGGUGAUUUUAAUAAUUAUUUUUUU